rnacentral:rRNA from 1 species
CAACUUUUAACAAUGGAUCUCUUGGUUCUGGCAUCGAUGAAGAACGCAGCGAAACGCGAUAGGUAUUGUGAAUUGCAGAAUUUAGUGAAUCAUCGAAUCUUUGAACGCACAUUGCGCCCUCUGGUACUCCGGAGGGCAUGCCUGUCCGAGCGUCAUUU